CUUCCCAUCACUAUUUUCGUAUCCCCCCUCACGUUAGGACGGGAGUUUUUAUGUGUGUGUUUCUACGGCUGGUUACGGAUUACUUUAAUCAUCUCCAAAUGAAUCCAUUCCGCUUUCAUGAAAACUCAUAACAUGUUUUGCAUGCUACUUUGCAGUGAUAGACACUUUGCUCUCGUCUAGUUUGGCAACUCUCAGGCAAACGAUUCAGCGAGUCCUAGCGAAUCGAGUCUGUACAGUGUCUUUAUGCUAAUAAGGCUAAGUAGGCUGUUACUACACACUUGCUGAGCUGGUGCGAACAUGGAGCACGCAAGACUCCUUCUCCUUCUGAUCAUGGGAAACUUCCUCGCAAGUACCGAUCUUUUAGACUGCUCUGUGGAGAAUAACACCACCUGUGACUGCGUUCACAAUGCCACAUUGGACACUGCUGAAUAUUAUGAGAAGUACAGAGACUGCGAUUGGAGUUUGAGGAACAAGGAGGAUAUAGUUCUUCAACUACUAACUCCAGUCCCACAUGUAACUGUCCCAUGCAGCUGGCAUGAAGUUUACUUGAAGUUGAACUGCGACAGCCCAAAGCAUGAAGUGAUUCUGCAUUGGUACAAGUUUGAAAGCAAAACUGAACACAUCAGUUCUGGAGAAACUCCCCUUCAAAGUCAUGUGAGCAUUCUGUGUCUGUGUCUGUGGUGCUUGAGGUACUUACUAUAAAGCACUGACAAAACAUGCAUGACCACCGACGAUGAUAGAAGUGUACAUUAUGCCAUCCACAAAAAAGUUACAUAGUUUAUUUGAUCUGCAAGAAUGAUUUUUAGAGUACUUUCUAGGAGUUUUAAUUCACUAUAUGGCCAAAAGUUUGUGGAAACCUGACCAUCCCAUCCAUACAGCCCUGAAUUAUAUUAGGGGGUGGGGCUUAAGCCCUAUGGGGCCUUCAUGUGUUAACAUGAAGUUCGUCUUCGUUAUGGUACUGUGUGUGUGUGUGUGUGUGUGUGUGUGUGUG
ensembl:lncRNA